GCCACGCCGCGCCACCGCCCGUGCGGAACGGGCACCGCGACUCCAUCUCCACCGUCAGAGCAUUCCUGGAUGACUUUGAAUCCAAAUACUCCUUUCAUCCUGUUGAAGAUUUCCCAGCCCCAGAGGAAUAUAAGUACUUCCAGAGAAUCUACCCCAGCAAAACAAACAGAGCUACACGUGGGGCCCCCCCUCUGCCCCCCAUCCCCAGGUGAAACCGGGCUGUGCAGGUGGAUUGUUCCGGAGCAGACACACGGACCUCCUUCCCCUCCCUCAGCCGGCCCCCCCAGCUCCCAGCCCCCCGGAUCCUGCAUGGCACACUCCCAGCCUCUCUGCCUUCCCCAGGACCAGCGGAUCUGCCCGGCCCAGCACCCUCCAUCAGCGUCCCCCUCAUCUAUGCACCCCUCGGGACUCAUGGCAAGCCUGGAUGGGUCCAUCCCUUGUUCCUCCUCAUGGAUCCCGGGCCAGGAGCAGCCUGGGAGCCGGGCACAGGACUCUGGGCUGAGCCGUGUGCCGGCUGUGGGGAUCAGGGGGGCUGGUGGAGAGGGGCUGCGGAUGGACAUACUGCGAGACCCCCGGAGCGAGGGGGAGCAGGGCCAGGCUGGGGGAGCCUCGUUAUCCCUGGAGAGCCUCAUUAUCCCGGUGGAACCUCAUUAUCCUGGGAGAGCCUUGUUAUCCCAGCACAGCCCAUUGCUUUUUUGCACAGGAGCCAGUAGGGGAGGGGGGUGAGUGGGACCAUCCAGGGAGACCCCGACAGCGCUGGGUGAGGGGGAACCCCAUCCCUGUGCCCUCUAUAACCGGCACUUCCCCCCCGGGCUGGGAUGGGGGGCGUGGGGUCUUCUCGGCUUUCACCCUUGAACCCCCGAACUCGAGCAUUUUAACAAGAAAACACUAAUUAUCUGGGGAGGAACCAGGAGGGGGCCGUUUGUGCUGGUUCUGACACGUCAGGGGGCACAUGGGGGGGGCCCUGGGGGAGCCAGUGACGUUUUGCCUUAUACACUCCCUGUCCGACGGGUGGUCCCGGCCGGACUCUCCGUGUUCCCGCGGGGGGGUCACACUAACGUAGUUACUGAUCUCUUUGUACCUGUCAAGCGCCGUAGGAGGAAGGUGGCGGGGGCUGCAGGGAGGCUGCACCUCCCCCAGAACGGUUUGGGGUUGAUUUGGGUGUUGUUUUUUUUUUUUUCUAUGACGAUGGACCUUUCCCUGUUGGGGUUGGAGAAAUGCGGGUGAAGGGUGAGGGGUGUUUGGGGGGGUUUUCUGGAGGAUGACUCCCCUCAGCAUUGCCCUUUGGGUUAAAUAAAGGGUCAACAUGGUUCUGCCCCUCCUGAGCAAGGGACCCUCUUAAGAGGGAACAGAGGGAAUUGGAGGAGCUGGAAAUUGCAUUUAAAUAAAAGUAAUAAAGUGAUAAA